GCCGACUGGUGGGCCCCACUCGCUCCCUCCCUCGCGCUUGCCCCCUUCUGUCCCCAACCGCAAGCGCUCCUCCGCUGGGCCCCCUAUCCCGGCGUCUGCAUCUCACUCCGGACCGGCGGAGGCAGGCAGAUGCCGGAGUAGAGGAGGUCGUCGUCGGAGCGAACCUCGAGCCGAGCAAGUACCCCGCCACCGCGUUCCCCGCCUCCCGACGCCCUCCCCUCGCUCCGCCUCGCUGCCCGCCCCCUCGCGCAAGGCCGCCGUCCCACGUCUGCAGGCCCACCGCGCGCCUCGCUUCGCCUCCACGCCACCAUUCCUGCAGCGCCCGGAGAGCCGCCCGUCGACGCCUCGGGACGCAGCCGCCAUUCCCCCUGCAUCCAAAUCGCCGGUGGCCCUCCUUGGGUCGAGGCCACUGGCCCAGCCGCGUCCGGAUCGGCGCGCGGCCCGCCUCGGCUCAACGCCGCCAUCCCAGCCGCGUCAGGAGCUCUGCGCGGCCCUCCUCGGGCUCGACGUCGCGCGGGACAACGCCAUCCCCCGCGCGCACGACUCCGGUCCCUCGGCCGCCCGCCGGCGCCAUGCUGGAGGGCCCAUCCAUUCGCCCUCCAUACGCACUGGUGAGAUCAGAGAAAUAAACAGUGGUGGGGUUGAGGUCUUGUUCUUCGACCGCCAGCGAGUGUCCACAAGAAUGUCCUCAUCUGCUUCCAGUCCAAUCCCCAUCCUCAUGUCAGUACUCGUGGACCGUUGGCAUCGCAAAGAAGAGGUGGUAUGGCAGAUAACGGCAGGGCAACCACUCCCUCUGCAGCGAUGCACGCAACCUCCACGCUUCUGUCUCCAGUCGUCGGCCUUGACUUCACUGGUGAGCAAGUCUACCUAGAUGAUUUGCUGAGUUCUCGCAUUUUAGCUCAAGAAUUCAUCAGUGCUGAUAGACUCAUGAAGCGGUUUUGUCAGGUUUUAUUGAGGUCCAUAUAGAUUUUGUUGGCCUGGUACUACCUAUCAAAGAUAUUGUGAAAGGGAAGGUGAAGGUAUAAUGCUAAUAUUAUAAUUAAAAGGAAAAAUAGAUAUAUAGCAGAUUAUUAUUUUCUCAUGUCUAAAAUCAUGGCUAUUAUGCUGUCUAACAAUUUAACUUCCAGUUUAACCACCAAAGAGUCGCGAAUGGCUGGAUUUCCUUUAGUAUCAGAGUAGCUGUCAUUGUGCCUAAUAGGUAACAGCACACAAUUCUUCCCAAUACAUGACCAGAAAAUAAGUAAAUGUUGUAAAGGGUCUUGACCCUCUUCAUGAGUUAUGUUAUUCCGAGCAUGCUAUAUUGCCAUGUCCACAUUGAGCUCACAGAUUAGAAGGAAGAGUCGUUGGAUCCACGCUCUGUAAUUGUUCAACAUCCAGCAACUCCCAACGCUGACUCAUGACAUCCCUCAGUGUCCUUGAUUGCAGAUACAUGAUCACCGCGUGAGUGACCAUCUCAUCUUCAACUCCACAAAUUUCACAUGCACCAAAUCCAAUUGGAGCCAUGGAUCUUUUCCUUUUGUAGCCAGUCCAUCAUCGGACUGUUUCCACCAAAAAAAUUGACCUUUUUGUGGGACUUGUAUAUUAUCUAAAACACUCUCCAUAUUGGACAAUCCUCUCCCUUAUAAUGAAGCUUUUGGUUCAGUUUGUCAUGAUAUGCACUUAUGCUUUCUGCAGGCCAUAACAUUCUCAGGAGUUCUUAUCUAGAAAGAUAUAAUUCCCUUCUUGUGUAAAGAAAUGAGUAGCAUUCUGCAGGCAAGAAGAUGCUUAGAAGUUCUUAUCCGAUAUUCAAAAGCUUGCUAUGCAGCUAACCUUGGUUUCCCCGAGUUUAACUUGUGUUAGCACAACCCUAUUUUUUAUUAUCAUUUGCCUUAAGCUCUUUCUUUAGUUAUUGCCUGAAAAUGUGGAAACAGAGCUACAUGAGACAAUUGUAAUAUCCGUUGGUACAGAAGUUAUUUAUAUUGGCCUGUUGAACAUCAGUGAACUGUAUGACCAAUCGAAGUACAGAGCAUGGCUCUGAGUCUCUGACUAUCUGUCAAGUAGAUUGAAUACCAUUGUUUCUAAUUUGUCCAGAAACUAAUUGCUUCCUUAUCGAUGUCCUUGGUCCUCUCAUGUUUUGUUUAUAAAUCAUAGGAUUCUGGCAGAAUCAUAGGAUUCUGGCAGGUAAAAUUGAGUUGAACCCGACUGAAGUUGAUGAUAUUGUAGUUGAAACUGCCGUAGCUCGUGAGAGAAACUGUUCAGUUUGCACAGAGAUCAUUUCGGUUAUGUAAUAUUUUCCCAUUGCAUUUACUUUUUUCCUGGGACCAGCAUUUUGUUAACACAGCAUGUAUGUGUGUCAAAUCCGUUCUACUACUUCCCAAUGAGAGUGUUACAGUAUGUCAAAAAUGAAAAAUGUUCAGGCUUUGUUUCCCUGCAACUUGAUUAGUUUUGUUCUUGUAAGACUAAACAUUGUGCCUUUCUUUUAUAUGGAUAUCUUAGCUGUCUGCUCAGCUAUUAGAUAUGAUGGGUGUAACGAACUGAACUGAAGAUGGUUUCUCAUGGCUCAUGGGUUUCUUGAAGAUUCACAUGUCCUAAUCUGCACCACUUGAAAUAUGACUCCUGGAAUCCUGGUUGUGAGUAUGGUAAGAUAGACAAUCUGCAUUUGUCCAGUGUCAGCAUUGUCAUCAGGAAUGGUGUAGAAGGCGAAGACUAAAUGGAAGGGCCAGAAGGCGAAGGAGGUGGAGGGUUCUGGCUUCAAGCUUUGGUACAUGGGGAUAACUUCGGCAUUGUCAUCAGGGCGCAUGCAGUGUAUUCAGCACUGGUUGACAAGGUCUACUGUUGGGCAAAUUUCAGGCAAAUCAGACAAUACAAUAUUUGAAAUUUGGAAGGAGAAGGAGAUAUAGCAGAUGGAAUAUCAAGACCCAGGUCACCAAAACUCAUAAUUUCAGUUUCAACAUAUUGGAAAGUUCGUAGGUUUUCAGAACAAUACAAGCAUGUUUGAAAAACUGCUGUUAUUUAAGAUCAUCACUAUUUUUUCUCUCUUUCAUCCUGCUUACCUAGGAAUGGUAUGUAUUUCUUGGCAAUUGGAAGUGUAAGAAAACUUCAAGAGAGGAAACGUGCUACUGCUUCCUCAUCAGGUAUCCUUGCAGUAAAUUCAUUAAACUAAAUGGCUCUUGCAAUGCAGCAUACAAAUAAUAUAUGCUAUGAAUGCCAACACAUACACUCAGUUUAUUCAGCACUAUAAUAGGUCUCAAGGUAGUAAAAGAUGAAAUUACUCAAUCUGUACUGCUUGUGCUACUAGCAGCUUCUGUGUCCUGAAUGCAGCUAAUCAUAUCGGAGAGGUGAAGGUGUACCUAACUUUAUUUCUUGGUGCUGAGAUGGCUGCUAGCUUGCUAAUGAGGUUUUCUUGAAAUAGGGGAUGCUAGAGAUCUAAUGGAGAGAGAGAGAGAGAGAGGAUGUUCCAUACAUGGUUGACGCCGUGGUCGUCCACGUCAUGAUUUAGAGUUGUAAACUUGCAUCAACAACAUGAGUUGUGCAGCUACCAUGGAUCCCCGUUUGAGUGAGUGGACGCGCUCCGAAGCCGCAUCCUGUGCUAACAAGGAUGGCAGCGCGUGGCAAUUUCUGUGCUCUAAGGUUGUGAAGACUUCCUAACUCAUUACAAGUGGACUUAUGGCAGCCAUUGAAUCAACUAUGAUGCAAUUCUAAUUUUUUACUGAUAUUUCUUGCUUCUGAAAUAAAAGAAAUCUAGAUUCAAUAAAAGUUAAGUAUUGCAACAUUUUGACUUCUUUGGCAACUAUUGUGUGUUGUAUGGAUAUAAAACAUGUACUCAAUAGUAAUAUUUUAACAUGUACGUGCCGCACGUGCACUUUACUAGUUAAUGAAAAUAUGGAAUGUGUUGCUACUGAAAUCAUUAUGUAGUGCAAUGUUAUAUACACUUUUGGUUCCAUCUUC